GACGAACGCUGGCGGCGUGCUUAACACAUGCAAGUCGAACGGAAAGGCCCUGCUUUUGUGGGGUGCUCGAGUGGCGAACGGGUGAGUAACACGUGAGUAACCUGCCCUUGACUUUGGGAUAACUUCAGGAAACUGGGGCUAAUACCGGAUAGGGGCUCCUGCUGCAUGGUGGGGGUUGGAAAGUUUCGGCGGUUGGGGAUGGACUCGCGGCUUAUCAGCUUGUUGGUGGGGUAGUGGCUUACCAAGGCUUUGACGGGUAGCCGGCCUGAGAGGGUGACCGGCCACAUUGGGACUGAGGUACGGCCCAGACUCCUACGGGAGGCAGCAGUGGGGAAUAGUGCACAAUGGGCGGAAGCCUGAUGCAGCAACGCCGCGUGCGGGAUGACGGCCUUCGGGUUGUAAACCGCUUUCGCCUGUGACGAAGCGUGAGUGACGGUAAUGGGUAAAGAAGCACCGGCUAACUACGUG
rnacentral:rRNA from 1 species